rnacentral:rRNA from 1 species
UACGUAGGGGGCAAGCGUUGUCCGGAAUCAUUGGGCGUAAAGCGCGCGUAGGUGGCCCGGUAAGUCCGCUGUAAAAAGUCCAGGGCUCAACCCUGGAAAGCCGGUGGAUACUGUCGGGCUCGAGUCCGGAAGAGGCGAGUGGAAUUCCUGGUGUAGCGGUGAAAUGCGCAGAUAUCAGGAGGAACACCGGUGGCGAAGGCGGGUCUCUGGGCCGAUACUGACGCUGAGGAGCGAAAGCGUGGGGAGCGAACAGG